UAGGGAGACCUAAUCCAUUUAGAAAUCGAAAACAAUGAAAAUUGUCAAUAGAAACUAAAUUGGUCUAACCUAGGUCGUUCGAGAUUGGUAGACAUCUUUCAAAGUAUUAUUCGGCUUCGUUCAAAACCAUAUAUAAUAAAUGGAAAAAGACAGCACCUAAUUGUCAAAGUUAGACUGCUGGAUGAAAUUCCAGCCAGAACCUUGAAAACUGCAUAAGAGGACGAGAAAAAGCAGGCAGACACAGACAUUUAGAUGGAUGUGAAAGCAAAAGAAAUUGU
rnacentral:misc_RNA from 1 species